UAUAGCAAAAACAUUUUUAGUAAACGUUUUAAAUUUAUUCUUAUUUGGUUCCUUAAAUUAGGCAAAAAAUAAGCAUUAUGAUGUGCGGUAUCUGUUGUUGUUGUUGGUAUCUACGUAAAACAUAGAUAGAGGACUUAGUAGCGGUUCAAUUCCUUGGGUAGUGGAUCAAGUCCAUAAAAGCUCACAAUAUAAUGUUGACGAAAUUUGCGCCAUUAAGGUCAUCACGAGUACCCUGCCUCUUAAAAGAAGGAUGCGCCAAAGGAUAAAACCGCAAAUGACGAUCUAUCUAAAAACAAAACAAGUAUUCUAAUUUAAGAAAAUGAGAAUGUACCCGGACAGAUAAAACGAAAUGCCGCCUUAUGGCGAGUUUGGUCCGCGAAGGACCGAUUCUAUGUGUUUCAAUACGAGUGGAUUAAUUCCAAUGAUCCGUCAAAUCGCUGUGAUAGAGAUGGCCCAAGCAGGGUAUGCUCAGACCAUGGACCAACCAAUUGAUUGCCUGCGAAGAUUGUGAUUGAUUUCCAUUUGUCAAGGAAAAAAAACAAGCCAGCGAUGCUUUUGUAUUAAAUAAAUUGGUCACUUUGACAGCUA